rnacentral:rRNA from 1 species
UACGAAGGGGGCUAGCGUUGCUCGGAAUCACUGGGCGUAAAGGGUGCGUAGGCGGGUCUUUAAGUCAGGGGUGAAAUCCUGGAGCUCAACUCCAGAACUGCCUUUGAUACUGAGGAUCUUGAGUUCGGGAGAGGUGAGUGGAACUGCGAGUGUAGAGGUGAAAUUCGUAGAUAUUCGCAAGAACACCAGUGGCGAAGGCGGCUCACUGGCCCGAUACUGACGCUGAGGUGCGGAAGCGUGGGGAGCGAACAGG